UAUACAAUUCUCAGCGAUGGUCUAACACCGUUGCCAAAUACAGAAUAGUCUUUGAGAUAACCCUUGGUUGAUGCUAUUUUGUUACAUAGAUUGUAUAUAUAUAUAUAUAUUCUCUCAUAGGAUCGUCCAAGAGAUAUACGGGUCGGGUCGUGCAUGGAAUAUAAAUGAUAAACAUCAGCUUGAUAGUGACAUUCAGAUGCUGCCUAAUGAAGAAAGUCAAUGCUUGGUUAUUGGUAGUUGGUACUAUCCCCAGAUCAAUUCUUGGCUUCUUAUUCCUUAUCAAAGGGCUAUGAUUGGUUUACAUAGAUUUCAAUUUCGUUUCUGCUUCAUUUGAAGGUAAAAGAGGAGUAUUGAUGGUGUAGCGGAACGGCUGCAUCAGAAUUGGAAUCACAGAGAAGUUGCAAAAUGAUCACAAUUCAGAAUUUUGUUUCGACAGUUUUUACACAUAGGAAAUCACUUGAAGCAGAAAGCGGUUGAAUACUAAUCCCAAUCGAAAAACUUAAAGGACAUGUUGAACAAAAUCAUUUUUGUUACUGAAAUAUUUAAACGAGCUAUAACCAACCAAUGGGAGACAAGUUAUUAAAAC
rnacentral:lncRNA from 1 species